UCCUGUCCCUUCAUCCUGGGCCUCCUCCCAGAAGAAGGCCCCAACUUGCCCACAAGGAGAAGAAUCCAGAUUACUGCUGCUGCCAUGGCUGCCCCAGCCUGCCCGGCCCCCGCUCUGUUCUGGCAACUACAACUUGGCCAGGACGCUGCUUACCUCUCGACGCCCUUGUGAGGAAGCCUCAACAUCAUGAACUCCGGCGCAUGCGUACAGAGCACCUACCGCGUGCCAGGCACAGAGGAAGCCUCGACGGGCAGCACCCUGCCCCCCACGGAGCUUGCACACCACCGGUAGCAGGGCCCGAACCCAGUGCAGCCAGGCCCACAGAGGCCAGCUUCCUUACGGAUCCUUUUUCCCUCCGCCUCCAAACCAGGGGACCCGGGGACUGUGCCAGGGGUCAGCUGGAAGUCCCCUGUGGCCCACCAGAGGACCUCUCCCACUCAGAGCUGUCUGGAUGAGCAGGUGAGGCAAAGGCGGAUGGAGGAAGGGAACUCUGAGAGCCGGUCUCCUCCUCAGGCACCCACUGCACAAGAUCCAGAGAGCAGAUGAAAAACAGAAGCCACCAUCCAAACACAGGAAUGUAUAUUAUUAGCAGUUGGAGCAGGCACUGGCGUCCUUCGAAUCCGCUGCCGACCAACUAUAUUGCCCAAUCCUUCCGGUUCAUUUUUUUCUUUGACCUCCCUGCAUGUCUCUGGAGCUCCCACAGCUAUGGCUGUCUGCGUUGCAAAAUACAUAUUUACAGGCCCUCUAAGCCUGGCUAAAUAUAGGCUUUCUUUUAAAGCAA